CUCUGAAAAAUCCCUUGUGUAUUUGUCAAGGUAUGAUUGUGUUGCCCACUGCAAAUACUAGAUUCUUGCACAUAGAGGUAAAAGGCUAAGUUAAACAGUUGUCUUCAUCAUUGUUGCUCUUCUUUAGACUCUAACAAUUGGCUCCCACCCCAUUUCUUGUCUCUAAAAUGCCAGCAAUGAUACAUUAUUGCUAGGGACAAAUCAAAAGAGGUUUAUUACCAACAAGUGUGUGCUGUUCGUGUGGAACACCUGGCUUUAAAAUUAUUCAAUGACGAAGCUGUUCAAAGCUGUGGUGAAGUGAAAAAAA
rnacentral:misc_RNA from 1 species